AGGCUGAGCUGUGAUGGGGAGAAGACAUUGUGUCUUCGAGUCGUUGAUUUCACACUGCCGAGAAAAGCCUCUAGAUAGAAAAUAGGUGCCCGUACCGCAAACCGACACAGGUAGUCAAGAUGAGAAUUCUAAGGUGAGCGAGCGAACUCUCGUUAAGGAACUCGGCAAAAUGACCCCGUAACUUCGGGAGAAGGGGUGCUCUUUAGGGUUAACGCCCAGAAGAGCCGCAGUGAAUAGGCCCAAGCGACUGUUUAUCAAAAACACAGGUCUCUGCUAAACCGUAAGGUGAUGUAUAGGGGCUGACGCCUGCCCGGUGCUGGAAGGUUAAGAGGAGUGGUUAGCUUCUGCGAAGCUACGAAUCGAAGCCCCAGUAAACGGCGGCCGUAACUAUAACGGUCCUAAGGUAGCGAAAUUCCUUGUCGGGUAAGUUCCGACCCGCACGAAAGGCGUAACGAUUUGGGCACUGUCUCAACGAGAGACUCGGUGAAAUCAUAGUACCUGUGAAGAUGCAGGUUACCCGCGACAGGACGGAAAGACCCCGUGGAGCUUUACUGUAGCCUGAUAUUGAAAUUCGGCACAGCUUGUACAGGAUAGGUAGGAGCCUUUGAAACGUGAGCGCUAGCUUACGUGGAGGCGCUGGUGGGAUACUACCCUAGCUGUGUUGGCUUUCUAACCCGCAC
rnacentral:rRNA from 1 species